rnacentral:rRNA from 1 species
UACGGGGGGGGCAAGCGUUGUUCGGAAUUACUGGGCGUAAAGGGCGCGUAGGCGGUUUGUUAAGUUGGAUGUGAAAACUCUGGGCUUAACCCAGAGCCUGCAUCCAAAACUAGCAAGCUAGAGUUCUGGAGGGGAUAGCGGAAUUCCUGGCGUAGCGGUGAAAUGCGUAGAUAUCAGGAGGAACACCGGUGGCGAAGGCGGUUAUCUGGACAGAAACUGACGCUGAGGCGCGAAAGCUAGGGGAGCAAACAGG